rnacentral:other from 1 species
ACAGCACUGGAAUGUGCGAGUUUGCUCACAUUUUUGACCGACUAAAUCGUAUUACCUCGGGAGUCAAAGAGACAUCUUACAGCGUGCAAGCCAUUUUAGAUGGAAGCAGCUUCAGUAAGAGCGAGACGCCCACCUGUUAUUGUAACAGCGGGUUCAAUACACGAGCAGAUCACCGGCAUUCAAACAGUGUUUUU